CCUGGUGGCUCAGACAGUAAAAGCAUCUGGCUGCAAUGCAGGAGACCCAGGUUCGAUCCCUGGGUCAGGA
rnacentral:tRNA from 1 species